GUUAGCAUAGUUUAACUAAAACAUUAGGUCGUGGCCCUAAAAAUAGGAGUUCAACUCUCCUUACAAACC
rnacentral:tRNA from 1 species